GAUGAACGCUGGCGGCGUGCCUAAUACAUGCAAGUCGAGCGAACGGACGAGACGCUUGCUUCUCUGAUGUUAGCGGCGGACGUGUGAGUAACACGUGGAUACCCUACCUAUCUGACUGGGAUAUCUUCGGGACACCGGAGCUAAUCCCGGAUAAUCUUUUGAACCGUAUGGUUCAAUAGUGAAAGACGGUCUUGCUGUCACUUAUAGAUGGAUCCGCGCUGCAUUAGCUAGUUGGUACGGUACCGGCUUACCAAGGCAACGAUGCAUAGCCGACGUGAGAGGGGGAUCGGCCGCACGGGAACGUAGACACGGUCCAUAGUCCUAAGGGAGGCAGCAGAAGCGAACCGGAGGCAGGGGGCGAAAACCUUACAGAGCAACGCGGAGCGAGUGAUGAAGGUCUUCGGAGCGGAAAGCUCGGUUAUGAGUGAAAAACAUAUUUGGAAGGUACUGAGCACAGCGUGACGGUACCGAAUAAGAAAGCCACGGCUAACUACGUG
rnacentral:rRNA from 1 species